UGGGAUUAGCUAGUUGGUGAGGUAAUGGCUCACCAAGGCGACGAUCCCUAGCUGGUUUGAGAGGAUGAUCAGCCACACUGGGACUGAGACACGGCCCAGACUCCUACGGGAGGCAGCAGUGGGGAAUAUUGCACAAUGGGCGCAAGCCUGAUGCAGCCAUGCCGCGUGUGUGAAGAAGGCCUUCGGGUUGUAAAGCACUUUCAGUCAGGAGGAAAGGUUAGUAGUUAAUACCUGCUAGCUGUGACGUUACUGACAGAAGAAGCACCGGCUAACUCCGUGCCAGCAGCCGCGGUAAUACGGAGGGUGCGAGCGUUAAUCGGAAUUACUGGGCGUAAAGCGUACGCAGGCGGUUUGUUAAGCGAGAUGUGAAAGCCCCGGGCUCAACCUGGGAACUGCAUUUCGAACUGGCAAACUAGAGUGUGAUAGAGGGUGGUAGAAU
rnacentral:rRNA from 1 species